rnacentral:rRNA from 1 species
AAGCUCUUUUGUCAGGGAAGAAACGGGAUGUCCUAAUACGAUGUCCUAAUGACGGUACCUGAAGAAUAAGCACCGGCUAACUACGUGCCAGCAGCCGCGGUAAUACGUAGGGUGCAAGCGUUAAUCGGAAUUACUGGGCGUAAAGCGUGCGCAGGCGGUUAUGUAAGACAGGUGUGAAAUCCCCGGGCUUAACCUGGGAAUGGCAUUUGUGACUGCAUAGCUAGAGUGUGUCAGAGGGGGGUAGAAUUCCACGUGUAGCAGUGAAAUGCGUAGAGAUGUGGAGGAAUACCGAUGGCGAAGGCAGCCCCCUGGGAUAACACUGACGCUCAUGCACGAAAGCGUGGGGAGCAAACAGGAUUAGAUACCCUGGUAGUCCACGCCCUAAACGAUGUCUACUAGUUGUCGGGUCUUAAUUGACUUGGUAACGCAGCUAACGCGUGAAGUAGACCGCCUGGGGAGUACGGUCGCAAGAUUAAAACUCAAAGGAAUUGACGGGGACCCGCACAAGCGGUGGAUGAUGUGGAUUAAUUCGAUGCAACGCGAAAAACCUUACCUACCCUUGACAUGUACGGAAUGCUGAAGAGAUUUGGCAGUGCUCGAAAGAGAACCGUAACACAGGUGCUGCAUGGCUGUCGUCAGCUCGUGUCGUGAGAUGUUGGGUUAAGUCCCGCAACGAGCGCAACCCUUGUCAUUAGUUGCUACGAAAGGGCACUCUAAUGAGACUGCCGGUGACAAACCGGAGGAAGGUGGGGAUGACGUCAAGUCCUCAUGGCCCUUAUGGGUAGGGCUUCACACGUCAUACAAUGGUACAUACAGAGGGCCGCCAACCCGCGAGGGGGAGCUAAUCCCAGAAAGUGUAUCGUAGUCCGGAUUGUAGUCUGCAACUCGACUACAUGAAGUUGGAAUCGCUAGUAAUCGCGGAUCAGCAUGUCGCGGUGAAUACGUUCCCGGGUCUUGUACACACCGCCCGUCACACCAUGGGAGCGGGUUUCACCAGAAGUAGGUAGCUUAACCGCAAGGAGGGCGCUACCACGGUGGAU